rnacentral:rRNA from 1 species
AUGGACAACCGUAGAGCACUUUGUCCGUUUGGCCAGAUUUUACCCCGUACGGACCAAACCAGAUCGGUCGCGCGCUGGAGUUGCCCGAACCUCUAUAGCCGCCUUCCCGAGCUCCUCAUCACUUCCACGCCCUCGACGCCACCUCCUCCCAACCAUUGGCACCUCCUAGCAGAGAUCUGCGUGAUGGGGUUGCUGGGGAGCGCGCGCCGUCCAGAGAGACAAGGCAGCUCCCAAGCACAGGAUCCAGCAGCGCUGGCUUCUCCUCUCCUGCGCCGCCGUUGUCCACCCAUCCUCAUCCCGUGCAAGCAUGAGCUUCUCCGGCAUCGACGGUGGCCUGCAGUCAAAGGACGACUGCGGCGGCGCUCGAUUCGAUCUACAGGAGAGAGAGAAGAUAUGAGGGAGAGAGAGAAGGAAGGAGAGGAAGGAUAA